GGAGGUAAAGGUGGGUAGAAAAACACAAAAGACCAAUGGAGCAUAAUUUACAAUAAACUCGUUUAUUAACAUGAAAACCUUUACCAUCCACUUACCUUGGUGGAAUUUAUGAAAACAAUAUGAGAAAAACAAUAACAUUAUCAUAAUCAUUGAAUAAUCUAAGCUGUAAAACAUAACACUUAUCACGCCUCUUGUAAUUCAAUCAUUGUACAACAUAUCUUUUUUUUCUCAUUUACCAGCCUACUAGUAUCCGUGGGGGUCCAUAGGGGUUCCGCUACCCGUUAACCUUUAAUAUUCAUAAUCAGUUUCCAGGGCCGUCCCCAUACCCCGUCCGGUAUGGGCGCCAAAACCAUGAACCUCAAUACCCC
rnacentral:lncRNA from 1 species